UUGACCUCGGGAAUCAAGGG
rnacentral:rRNA from 1 species